rnacentral:rRNA from 1 species
CCUACGGGAGGCAGCAGUGGGGAAUAUUGGACAAUGGACCGAGAGUCUGAUCCAGCAAUUCUGUGUGCACGAUGAAGUUUUUCGGAAUGUAAAGUGCUUUCAGUUGGGAAGAAAAAAAUGACGGUACCAACAGAAGAAGUGACGGCUAAAUACGUGCCAGCAGCCGCGGUAAUACGUAUGUCACAAGCGUUAUCCGGAUUUAUUGGGCGUAAAGCGCGUCUAGGCGGCUAUGUAAGUCUGAUGUGAAAAUGCGGGGCUCAACUCCGUAUUGCGUUGGAAACUGUGUAGCUAGAGUAUCGGAGAGGUAAGCGGAACUACAAGUGUAGAGGUGAAAUUCGUAGAUAUUUGUAGGAAUGCCGAUGGGGAAGCCAGCUUACUGGACGAAUACUGACGCUAAAGCGCGAAAGCGUGGGUAGCAAACAGGAUUAGAUACCCUAGUAGUC